rnacentral:rRNA from 1 species
CUGGCGGCAGGCCUAAUACAUGCAAGUCGAGCGCGCCCUUCGGGGUGAGCGGCGGACGGGUGAGUAACGCGUGGGAAUAUGCCCUUCUCUAAGGAAUAGCCUCUGGAAACGGAGAGUAAUACCUUAUACGCCCUUUGGGGGAAAGAUUUAUCGGAGAAGGAUUAGCCCGCGUUAGAUUAGGUAGUUGGUGGGGUAAUGGCCUACCAAGCCUACGAUCUAUAGCUGGUUUGAGAGGAUGAUCAGCCACACUGGGACUGAGACACGGCCCAGACUCCUACGGGAGGCAGCAGUAGGGAAUCUUAGACAAUGGGGGCAACCCUGAUCUAGCCAUGCCGCGUGUGUGAUGAAGGCCCUAGGGUCGUAAAGCACUUUCGCCAGAGAUGAUAAUGACAGUAUCUGGUAAAGAAACCCCGGCUAACUCCGUGCCAGCAGCCGCGGUAAUACGGAGGGGGUUAGCGUUGUUCGGAAUUACUGGGCGUAAAGCGCACGUAGGCGGAUUAGUAAGUUAGAGGUGAAAUCCCAGGGCUCAACCCUGGAACUGCCUUUAAUACUGCUAGUCUUGAGUUCGAGAGAGGUAAGUGGAAUUCCGAGUGUAGAGGUGAAAUUCGUAGAUAUUCGGAGGAACACCAGUGGCGAAGGCGGCUUACUGGCUCGAUACUGACGCUGAGGUGCGAAAGUGUGGGGAGCAAACAGGAUUAGAUACCCUGGUAGUCCACACCGUAAACGAUGAAUGCCAGACGUCAGCAAGUAUACUUGUUGGUGUCACACCUAACGGAUUAAGCAUCCGC